AACCUAGCACACCUGCGGUGUGUACCUGCGGAGGGAUCAUUACCGAGUUUACAACUCCCAAACCCCUGUGAACAUACCAAUUGUUGCCUCGGCGGAUCAGCCCGCUCCCGGUAAAACGGGACGGCCCGCCAGAGGACCCCUAAACUCUGUUUCUAUAUGUAACUUCUGAGUAAAACCAUAAAUAAAUCAAAACUUUCAACAAUGGAUCU
rnacentral:misc_RNA from 1 species